CUCGCAAUCGUCCUCGCACGCAAUCUCGGCCGAUUUCCCCGGAUGACGGAGUCGUAGAGGAGUCCGGAGUCCGGAGCCGUAGCCGGAGCGAUUGGUCGCCGACGCGCCGCGCCGACGUUCCCGCCCCGCGAGAGUAUCACCGCAGCUUCGUGGCUGAGUAACUCCGCUAGUUGCGCAUCGGAUCGAUAUUCUUCGAGGUGAAAAACGACGAGAAGAGGACACCACCCAUUGUCGCCGCCUUACAAUUAGACUUAAAAUAAACGAACCGCAGCCGGUUCGUCGCGUCGCGCGUUUGUCUCGGGAGUGCCGUUUAAAUAUUGGACUAAAUAGACUUUUUUCGUAACUCCCAUUUGACAGACUCCUAGUUCGAGAGCCGGAAAUCGCACCCCCGCUGCUUGGCAGUGGAUAUGUCCUCACUGGGGCGUUGCGCAUGAUGGCUAAGAAAGACGGCGCACCGCAACGUUCCAUGCCGAGUGCCCGUGCACGAGGCAAUGCUGGGUCGCAUGUUACGACAUGAUCCGUGUGCAUGUUGCGUGGCUGUCAUCUGGUUGUGUGAGGUUUACACGCUCUGUUUCUGGCGAUCGGUUCGGUCCUAAGCGGUUAGAGUUUGGAUCGGUUGUCUUGGAUUCGCGCGUUUUUCUUCCUCUGGUCCACCAUCCUAAAGCUUUUUUAGAUUCUUGAUACCCUUUUUAGAUUCUUUGGAUCUGAGGUUUAAGCUGAGUGAAUUACGUUUAAUCUGACUUGGUCAAAACUUGGCCUCAUAGGUUAAGCUUGUGUCGAGAGGCUGGCUCUCAUUUCCUGAUUUGUCUAAAAUGCUAGACGUCGGCAAUGAGUACCUUCUUCUCUCGACCUGCCGCGGGAGUGUCUUGUCGACGCCUCUUAAAUAUAAGAUUUGGUGGGACUGAUCUUGAUGAUCCGUUGGCUGGGCGUAUGAACGAGUCAAUUUUAGACAUGAUUUUUAUAAGACAAAAGGCUUCGGAUUCAAUGCCAUUGAUUUCGUUUUCUUCCGCGUGGGGCUUACCCUUUUUCAGGGGCGGGUACGCGUGCGUCCUACUCGCCGACUCGGAGUGCUGAAUCCACGGGAAUUCCUCUGAAUAGAAACUCGUAUCAUGGGUUUUAUAAACUCGAAGUGCCGUAGUGUGUUCGCGCGAAAGAUAGAUAAUUAGAUUUUAUAGAUAAUUAGUCCACGCGCGCCAAUUUAGCAUAUUAUUCGCGAGUGUUCCGCGUGUGCAACAAGAGGAAAAGGACAACCUGGAGAACACUGAGAGAAGGAGGAGGCCUGGGAGAGGCAUCGAGCCCCAGCGGAGCAACCUUGGGUAAUCACCGUAGCUUCGUGACUGAUUAACUCCGCUCGUUGCGCAUCGGAUCGGUGAGUCAAAAAUCAAUUUUCGUAUUAUAUUUUAAUAUUUUGUAAGUGUCUUGCGCAGGAUCAAAUAAAAUUUACACUAUUUAUACCCCAAUACACAUACGUACAGAUAGCAAAAUAUGCUAUCUCCGCGAUGAUAGUCGCUCACAAUGUUAACGUAGCGAGAGUACCAAUCAGCAUCGUAAAAAAGCGACAAUAACUUGGAGAAAUCGAGUAUCGAUGCAAUGCACUUUUUCAUGAGCCCUAUUGUUGAAAACAUGCGAAUAAUUUUCGUAUACGAAAGUAGCAGAAUAACCAAUGGAAUUAUUCGAUGUUAUUUUCCCAUUGUCUAUUUUGUUAUUUUUGUAUAAAUAAAUUAUUUGCAUGUUUUCAGGAAUAGAGUUCCAGAUAGGAUGAGAAUGACCGGCUCGAAUGUCAUACUACAAAGAUCGAGAAAUUCCGUCUGUUCUUCGCGCACUAAAGAGACAAAGUACAUACUCGAAAGAUUAUUAUGACGGAUUUGUGUGCUGUGGACACAAGUCACACACGCGACAUGUCCACGAACGCGCCCACACGCGUCCACGACCGCCCAUUAAGGCUUUUCUCAAUGAAUAUGUGCACGCCAAAAAUAUCACAGCACCGGAUGACGACUAAAGCCAUAACGCGUAUUUUUGUCAUCUUCUCGCCGCGAAGAUGCGGUCUCUCUUUCAUGACUCUUUCACAGUGCAACAACAGGAAGUAACGAUUCCACUACGACGACAACGAGGCCAUGCGAAAAUUUACGUGCUAUCAAACGUGAAUGUUUUGAAAACAAACAGUCAGAAGGGGAAACAUUUUUCGCAGAAAUUCAAAAGGAGAAAAUAAUAUUGCAAUUUAAUAUUAACAAAUUGUUUAACAAUUGCUAUAAAUAUUUUACAUCUAGCAACCAUAAAUACAUGGUGCAUUCGAAGAAGAAAUAAUAACGAAGCGGUGAAAAUUUGAUUAAUUUAUAUCCAUAGCGUAACGCUUUUUUCGAUGUUUAAUGCAAUGUUUUAUAA